rnacentral:rRNA from 1 species
CCUACGGGAGGCAGCAGUAGGGAAUCUUCCACAAUGGGCGAAAGCCUGAUGGAGCAACGCCGCGUGAGUGAUGAAGGCCUUCGGGUUGUAAAACUCUGUCAUUCGGGACGAACCGGAGUCUGAGGAAAUGCAGACUCUCUGACGGUACCGGAGGAGGAAGCCCCGGCUAACUACGUGCCAGCAGCCGCGGUAAUACGUAGGGGGUCAAGCGUUGUCCGGAUUCACUGGGCGUAAAGCGCGCGCAGGCGGUGAUGUAAGUCUGAGGUGAAAACCCGAAGCUCAACUUCGGGACUGCCUUGGAUACUGCGUCACUUGAGGAUAGGAGAGGCAAGGGGAAUUCCACGUGUAGCGGUGAAAUGCGUAGAGAUGUGGAGGAACACCUGUGGCGAAGGCGCCUUGCUGGCCUAUUUCAGACGCUGAGGCGCGAAAGCGUGGGGAGCAAACAGGAUUAGAUACCCUGGUAGUCCACGCUGUAAACGAUGAGUGCUAGGUGUAGGUGGGCUCAUACCCAUCUGUGCCGAAGCUAACGCAUUAAGCNCNCCGCCGNGGGUAGGUACGGUCGCGACGACGUAGAACGUACGAAGUAGUAAGUUAGUUACGGCGUUGGAGGACGUUGGCCGACGGACGACGACGAGGGGAGGUAGGGAG